rnacentral:tRNA from 1 species
GCCCUCCUGGCUCAACUGGAUAGAGCACUGGAUUUCGGCUCCAGCGGUUACAGGUUCGAAUCCUGUGGAGGGUACAA